rnacentral:rRNA from 1 species
AACGAACGCUGGCGGCAGGCCUAACACAUGCAAGUCGAACGCGUGUAGCAAUACACGAGUGGCGCACGGGUGAGUAAUACGUGGGAACCAACCCUGAGGUUCGGAAUAACUGCGGGAAACUGCAGCUAAUACCGGAUGAUCCCCAAGGGGCGAAAGAUUUAUCGCCUUGGGACGGGCCCACGUCCGAUUAGCUAGUUGGUGAGGUAACGGCUCACCAAGGCGACGAUCGGUAGCUGGCUGAGAGGAUGAUCAGCCACACUGGAACUGAGAUACGGUCCAGACUCCUACGGGAGGCAGCAGUGGGGAAUAUUGGGCAAUGGAGGCAACUCUGACCUAGCCAUGCCGCGUGGGUGACG